GUACUGAUGAAGAGUCCCAAAAUAGGACGAAACAGUUGUCCAGUAC
rnacentral:hammerhead_ribozyme from 1 species